rnacentral:rRNA from 1 species
UACAGAGGGGGCAAGCGUUGUUCGGAAUUACUGGGCGUAAAGGGCGCGUAGGCGGCCUGUUAAGUCGAACGUGAAAUCCCCGGGCUCAACCCGGGAACUGCGUCCGAUACUGGCAGGCUUGAAUCCGGGAGAGGGAUGCGGAAUUCCUGGUGUAGCGGUGAAAUGCGCAGAUAUCAGGAGGAACACCGGUGGCGAAGGCGGGUCUCUGGGCCGAUACUGACGCUGAGGAGCGAAAGCGUGGGGAGCGAACAGG